UGUUCCCACAUAGCUUUGGUUUGCGGUCACCAUUCCUAUAUUUAUUUGUUAGCUUUGAUUUCUCUUCCUUUUUUUUUCCCUACUUAAGUCUGCUUGAGUCUUUUUCUUUUCUUUAUAUGUACUUAAUGUAAUAUUAGAAGCCAAGGCAGGACGAUGCUUUUCUAUUGUAAAAUUCAUGACUUUGUUGUCUAUGUUCAUUUCUACUCUUCAGUUUACUUAUUGUUUGAUAUAUAUUUGAAUAUGGAGAAUAUAAUCUUUUUUAUAUAUACAUAUUUUAGAAAAAAUUGAAUAUAUGUAUGUUGGACACAUUUCCCGUUUCAACAUAUUUCUUUAUUUUAUGCAAGUCGGUUGGUAUUUAACCAAAUAAAUUUAAUUACUAUAGUUCGGGUUAAAACUAAAAUUUUAAAAUUUAAAAAAAAUACAGAAAUUGAAGUUCACAAAUUGAAAAAAUAUACAUAUUAAAAUUGAUCAAAUUAAAAGUGCACCGAUUAACCUUAAUUUUUCUGUUAAUCUUUCUGUUCCCUUAAUUAAAUGUCCAUAUUUAAGUAGUUGGACACAUAUUCAAGUUUGAUAUUCGUCUUAAAUUCGUGCAAUACGGUUAAAUAUUGGUGAACUAGUAGUUGAUGAAGUAUUAUAUACAUUCUUGGAAUAUUGCUCCAUUCAACGAAUUUAUUUCAGCUCCAUAUGCUUAAAACACCUCCCGUUUCUACCAUAUUUCCUCAUUUUGCGUAACCCGAUUAGUAUACAACGUAAUCUUUUUCAUUGUUUAGUAUCCUAAUCCUUAACUCAAUAAUCUUUAUUAUGAUUGGGUCCAAUGAUUGCAAUUCAUCUUGACACUUCCGAAGCAGAAAACAAAAAAAAAUCAAAUUUCACCGGUUAAUUACAUGUCAACACAUAUAAUCCAUGAUAUCUUUGUCUUGAAGAUUAAAUAAGAUAAACUAAAUCACAAAGAAAAUAAACGAGUAAACAUAAUCUAGAAAUUCCAAAUUACAUUAUCUAACAAAAAUUCAAUAAGAAAUAAAUGGCUGCAUUUCAUUCUGUAGGGAUUUGCUCUUAUAUCUACCAACAAUAGCUUGAUGAUAAUAAGCUGAAAAAGAAAAGGAGUCCAAGGGAAUUGAAGAUUCUAAAUUCAGCUAGCUUAAUUGAUUCAAUAUUUCAAAUACACUUAAUUAAUACAAAUGAUAUUUAUCAAUAAAUCUAAAAUUUGCAUCCCUCAUUUGCAACCUACCUUCUAAAAACUGCCAGAAUGAAAUUAAACUAUCUUAUUUCAAUUCUCUUCAAAUUUAAGUUUACAACUUCUCUUUUUGGGUUUCCAUUUGUUUCUACUUUUAAAGCAAACAUUGAUUCAAGAAAUAUUUAUUUCAUUUGGCUUAUUUUCUUUUCUAUUUUUAUGCUACUCAGAUUCGAUGAAAAUAUUGAACAUAAUAUGUUUGCAAGUUAAAUGUCCGAGUCUUGAAAAAUAUAAGAUCGAAACGGAAGAAAUAUCCUAAAACCGAUGCUUAAAGAUUUAUAAAAUUUAGUAUAAUCAUGUUGUUUUCAUUAUUAUAAAACUCAAUGUUAAAAUGUUUAUGAUUCGAAUUAUGAUACGAGAGAAAAAUAGCUAACUAUUUUAACUUCAAGGAGUGAGAAAAUCUCAAUAUCUAAGAUAUGAAUGUUGUAAGGUACCACUCAAUCACAGCCACAUUUGUUAGUAUGGCUACUUUGGAUGAAAAGUUCUAUUCCAAGUUAUAUAUACACACAGAAAUACACAUGAAGUGGAUUAAUGGUGUAUUAUUUAAGUAAAGGAAAACGGUUCUGACUAAAAGAAAGAGUUGAAAUCUUGAACCUCCAAAUAUUGGGUAACCGCUGGUGUUAAAAAGUGCAUAAAGGUCCGCGCUUAUCUACAAGAAACAAUGGAGGAAUCACAUACGCUGUUUAUAUUCUUUUUUUUUUGCACCACAAGCAAUCCGAAACCAUAAACAAAGGAAUACUUUUUUGCCUUUUUUAAAUGGUUUUCUUCUUUCUUUUCCGCCUUUUAAAUUCUUCAUUCAAUUCAAGUUCAAGAAACCAUACUAAAUAUAUAUAUAUAUAUGUUUAUAUUCGCUUUUCUUGCUACACAAGCAAGCCAAAACCAUAAACAAAGCAUGCAUUUUUUUUCCUUUUUUUAAUGGUUUUCUUGAUUCUUUGUUGUUUUUAAAAUUCUUCAUUCAAUUCAAGUUCAAGAAACCAUAUUAAAAAAUAUAUUUAUAUUCGCUUUUUUUGCUACACAAGCAAGCUGAAACCAUAAACAAAGGCAUACCUUUUUCUCCUUUUUUAAAUGGCUUUUUUUUUUGUUUCUUUGUUGUUUUUUAGAUUCUUCGUUCAGUUCAAGUUCAAGAAACCAUACUAAAUAUAUGUGUUUAUAUUCACUUUUCUUGCUACAUAAGCAAGCCGAAACCAUAAACAAAGGCAAACCUUUUUUUUCCCUUUUUAUCUUGCUGCUUUUUAGAUUUUUUAUUCAAUUCCUAAGUUUAAGAAACCAUACUAUAUAUAUAUAUAUAUGUGUUUAUAUUCACUUUUCUUGCUACACAAGUCAACCGAAACCAUAAACAAAGGCAUAACUUUUUCGUUUUUUUUAAAAUGAUUUUUUGCUUUGCUACUUUUUUAAAUUUUUAUUCAAUUUAAGUUUAAAAAACCCUACUAUAUAUAUACACAUCUAGAGAGACAUCAUCAUCCUCAAGGAGUCAGUGAUUAAGCAUGAACUUGAUGGGAAGGCCACAAGUCGGUGAUGGUCAAAUCAUGAGUUGAUUAUGAUUAGUUUCAUAUUAUGGAAAAAAGAUGCUAGUUAAAAUUAGUUAGUUGACCGCUGCAUUUUGAGGUUGAGAGUUUAGUGAAACGAUACGUUUUGAUGUUUAAUGAAAACGGUGCGUAUUGAAAGUUUGAUACAACUAGUCGAGUAACAAGCGUGUAACAAACUUUGUAACUACCAAUUCUGAAGGCUUACAGGAACUGCCAACUUUUAAUUUUAUUUGUAAUCCUCACUUUAAAAAAAUAUUCCAAAUAUGCUUCCUCACCUUAUCAUUUUUGUUAUUUUUCAAGUGCCCUUACCAUUUUAUAUUUUUAAUGGGUAUAUUAUAAAAAUAGUCACCUAGUUAUUGCUUUCAUUCUAUUUUAUUCACUAAAUUAUUAAUUUUUUCGAUUUAAUUACUAAAUUUUUUUAAAUUAAAUAUUUUGAUCACUCUCCCAUUAAUUAUCAUUAGAUAAGUGAUAGGAAGUUAAUGUGAGCUUUUUUUAUUAGUCUAAUAAUAAAUUUAAUCAUCUAAUGUUUACACAUUCUAUUAAAUUGAUUUUAAAUAUAAAAUGUUCAAUAGAUUUAAACCUAAAUGUUUACAAAAUCUAUUGUUAUAGUUCAAAUCCUAAAAAUUUCAAUAAAUUUAAUCCUCAAAAUUUAUAAAUUUAAUUUUAAUUCUAACUCAUGGAUGAAUUAAGCAAAUUAAAUCAAAUCAAAUCAAUAGAACAAGGAAUUUAAUUAAAAAGAAAUUCUUCACAUGCAUCAAGGAGGGACUUCCUCUGGUGGUAUCAAGGGGAUUGAUAGAAACAGCUCAGGCUCGAACAAGAACUUCAUUGGGCUUAAGAUCUGGAACAGACACAUCGGAUCAAAGCUGCAACACCUCAGGUCCACCGAACCGAGCCAGCAAUACCGCACUGCAACUGUUGACAUAGCACCGAAUUGAACCCACUUUCAAUGAUAUGAUAACUCCAUAAAGGGUUUGGGUUUUAAGCUUUGAAAGUUCCCCUUUUUCUUCUCAAAUUUUCUGAACUUCAGCUCCUUCCUUUUGUUAAAUGAAGGAAAAGCAAAGGAGAGACACCGAAGUGUUUUAAUCCACAUAGAAAAUAGUGAUUGUGACUUGUGAGUGUUGGCCUGGGGGCUUGGAAGAAGAAGAUGAAUAUUGCAUAAUCGAUUUUUAAUUGCUUAUUACAUUCAUAAUUAAAUAAAUAAACAUUUCUAACCUUAUCAAUUAAAUCAAGUUAGAAUGUUCAACUUGAUUUUUGUUUGUUAUAAGGAUCAUAUAUUAUAAAAUUUAAUUUAAUUUUAAUAAUUAUAUAAUACUAUUUUUAAUUAUAUCAUCUGAUACCAUCUUGAGGGCUAAAUUUAGAAUUAAAAUUAAAUUGACAAAUUUUAGAAAUUUUGAGCUUAAAUUUAUUUUUAUUUUUAGGAAUUUGAAAUAAAAUGAGAAAUUUUGUAAAUAUUGAGAAUUAAAUUUGUUGGAAAUUUUAUAUUUAGAAUCAAAUGGUAGAAUGUCUAAACAUUAGGGGGCUAAAUUUAUUAUUAGACCAAUAAAAAACAAGUUCAUAUCAAUUUCCCGUCACUCAUCUAAUUGCAACUAAUGAGGAAGUGAUCAAAAUAUUUAACUUCUAAAAAUUUAAUGACUAAAUAAAAAAAUUAACAUUUAAGUGAUCAAAAUAGAAUGAAAUCAAUAAUUUGAUGAGCAUUUUUGUACUGUACCCUAUCUUAAUCCAUCUCAGAACAAAAUUUCUCCGCCUUUGCCUAAUUUCUGUGUCUUUGUCAAAUUUUAAUAGAAUUAACAUUUUUAUUUAAAAAAUAUCUUUAAUCGUUUAAUAUAUUUUUAAUAAGUAAAUGUUAAUUCCGUUAAGGGUCAGUUUGUUUACACGUAAAAAGUUAAAAAUAAAAGUUUGUUUACACGUAAAAAGUUAAAAAUAAAAAUAUUGAGUUCUAUAAUAUGAGUCUAUUGAACCGAUUCAAUCAUAAAUAUUAUUAUUAUUGGUUUAUAUAAUGGUUUGAUUUUGAAAAUAUUUGGUUUAACAUUUAGUCAUCCCUUUGAUCAAUUUUAAAUUUUAGAAAUAAUUUUGUUUUUUGUUUACAUUUAAAUGUACAGUUUCUAAUGCAUAUGUGUUACAUUUGAUUUCAAGCCAUUAAUCCUUAAUUACUUUUUAAAAUAAUACUUUCUUUUAAUUUUUAAAUAAUGUAUAAAUUUAUAAUUAUAUAAGAAAGUAAACUAUAAUAUUAAAUUUUUAAAAAUUAAGUAAAACAACAUGCAAUAAUUUUCAUAAUAAUUAAUGAUAAAUAAGAAAAAUAUUCACAAUUAUAAAACAAACCGUUUAAGAGUAUAUAAACUACUUAUACAAAAUUCUUUUAAAUUAAAGAUGAAAUUAUAUAUAUAUAAAUAACAAAUGAAAUUAUAUAUACAAAUUUAUAAGUGAAAAAUAUACAUAAUUAUAUUCAUAAAAAGUACAUAUGACAAUAUACAAACAAGGCUAUAAAGUAAUUCAUAGGAACAUGGCUUUCUUGUUUGUAUUCUCAUUCGAUUAUGAAUAUACCUUUCUUGUUAGUAUUCUCAUUAUUUUUUUAACAUACCUUUCUUGCUUGUAUUCUCAUUCUAUUAUGAAUAUACCUUUCUUGUUCGUAUUCUCAUUAUUUUUUUGCUUGCAAUUGUUUUUAUAAUUAAGUACUGGUUCUUGCAAUUGUUUUCCCAGCAAGAUUGCGGCACUCACAUCUUGAAAUUCAAAUUCCAGAUUUUAAAGAAUUUUCUGAGCUCGAUCGCUAUUAUGGCUUGGUUUGCUGUGACAUCUGCAGUGACAACAAUUGGCAACCUGCUAACUCAGGAAGCCAUAUACCUAUGGGGCGUGGAGGAGCAAGUUGAUCGUCUGCAAACAGAGCUCAAAUGGAUGCAAAGCUCCUUAAUGGUGGCAGAGACAAAACAAUCAACGGAUGAGAGGAUUCGUCUUUGGGUUGCUGAAAUCAGAGAGCUUGCUUAUGAUGCUGAGGAUAUUGUUGAGGAAUUUGCUCUCAAGAUUGGAUCCAAAAACAAAAGUGGCCUUCCGAGUUGUAUUAAAAGAUCAGCCUGCUGUUUGAAAGAGGGAUGGGUGCUCCAUGAAACCAGGUCAAAGAUCGAGAAAAUCAUAGAAAGAAUCAGCGACUUGGUCCGAUGACUACAGGCCUACGGCGUAAAGGAAUUAAAUCCCAGAGGAGAAGGAUCAAGUUUUUCAACUGAAAUACGAGAAUCAAGGCGGCCUUAUCCACAUAUUAUGGAUGAUAAUAUUGUUGGACUAGUUGAUGAUACCAAGGGAUUGGUCGAAGUUCUUACGAAGGAAAGUGGAUGCAAGGUUGUUACAAUAUGGGGCAUGGGUGGUCUGGGAAAGACCACUCUCGCCAAGAAAAUAUAUCACCAUCGUGAGGUUAUUGAUUAUUUCGAUCACUUGGCUUUUGUAUAUGUUUCUCAACCAUGCCGGAAAAGAAAUGUUUGGGAAGACAUUUUAUCUGGUUUCAAAACUUUAGAUAAAGAGGACAGGAAGAUAACAGAUGCAGAAUUAGCAGGGAAGUUGAGUAAAACUUUGAAGGAUAAAAAGUGUCUGGUGAUACUUGAUGAUGUUUGGACCAGUGAAGCUUGGGAUAGUCUAAAACCUGCCUUUCCAGUUGAUAGCAAAAGCAAGAUAUUGCUCACCUCUAGAAACAGGGGGAUAGUUCCAUAUGCUGACAUAAGAGGUAAAAUUUUCUUAAUUAGGUAAAAUUGAAAACUCUUAUUCCGUUUAUGGAAAAUAACAAUGUAUAUUAUUUCAGAGUUGAAGUGCCUAAACGAUCAACAAAGUUGGGAAUUGUUUCAAAAGAUUGUAUUUCCUCAAACAGGUAAAUAUAGAUAUAGCAAAAUUCUUUUUAUAUGCUAAAUUUAUUUUUCAUUUUUAAAUUUUUUUGACAAUAAUUAAAAUUAAAAAUAUAUAAAAUCUAUUUUAUUUAAAAAUUUCAAAACCUUAAUGUGAAAUAAAUAAAAGAAAUCAAGGCUUUGUAGUUUAUCAAUUAAUGGUACACGCACAUAAAUAUAAUUAAUAGGUAAAUUUAUUAUCUUUUAUAUUAUAAUUUUUUAAUAACUUCGCUAUUAUUUACCGGGAAUAAAUUAUAUUAGGAUUAUCUUAAAAAAAAAUAUAGUUUUUAGGCACUAAUAAAAUAGUGUCACAUCGUUAAUUUUUAAGAUAACAAAAAAUUGUUAUACACUCAUUUAUAUUUAAUAUUUUCUCUAACUUAAUUUAAUUUUAAUUAAAUUAUUUAAAAUAAUUAAUUUUUUAAAUUAUAAACAAACAUCUUCUCUUCUUUUACAAAUUUUAAUCAUUUUGUUUUUUUUCAUAAGUUAAUAUUUUUUAUUUUUGUACAACUUAAUAUUUUUUAUUUUUGUACAUCCAAUUUAAAAAAAAUAGUAAUUUUUGUGCAAUAAUUUUCAUGUCAUUGAUACAUAAUUUUGAUAAUUAUUUUAUCAUGAACCCAAAAUCCAGAACCUUGAACUCGAACCCUGAACCUAAACCUUGAAUCCCGAAUCUCGCAGUUCAAGGUUUGGAUUUGAGAUUUAAAGUUCAGAAUUUGAGGUUCAAGUUUAAAGUUUAAGGGUUCAGGGUAAAAAAAUUACCAAAAUUAUGUGUUAAUGACAUGGAAAAAAUUGUUGAAAUGUUAUUAAAUAAUCGAAAAUGGACAAUAAAUAAUGUGAUCAGAAAGGUCCAUAAAAUAAUUUCUCUAUGGAUGAGUGUAUAAUAAUAAUUCAUAUGUUUAAAAUUUGAUGAUGUGACAAAAAAAAUUUAAUUUUUAGGAUGAUCCUAAUGUUACUUUAUUGGACUAUAUGUUUGUUUAGUUAGGUUUUUUACCUAAAUAGGAUAAGAAAAAAAAACUACUGAAAUAGUGUGAUUUUUCAGUACAAUAAUUUUACUCUUUCACACGCUUCCGCGCAACAAUUGGUACCAGAGCCAGGUUCGUACUUGGCGAAUACGAUCGUUUACGAUACUAUUCACGUAUACAACACUAUUUACGUAUACGAUACUAUUCACAUAUACGGCACUAUUCACAUAUACAGUACUGUUCACGUAUACAGUAGUUGGGAUUGAGGAGAAAAAUGGCAGCAGCAUCGUCAUCAGCAAGGACUACUGUGACAAAUGCAAAAUUUGAAGUAGAGAAAUUUGACGGUACCAAUAAUUUUGGUAUGUGGCAAUGUGAGAUCCUGGAUGUCUUAUGUCAACAAGAGCUAGAUAUAGCCCUUGAAGAAAAACCUGACAAGAUGGAUGACAAGGAGUGAGCCAAGAUCAAUAGACAGGCGUGUGGUACAAUCCGCCUAUGUUUGGCCAAAGAGCAGAAGUACUCUGUCAUGAGGGAGACAUCAGCGAAGAAGUUAUGGGAUACACUGUAAGAAAAGUUUCUGACGAAAAGUCUUGAAAAUAGGCUUUAUAUGAAAAAGAAACUUUAUCGAUUCACGUAUGCACCCGGUAUGUCGAUGAAUGACCAUGUGAACUCAUUCAAUAAAAUUUUAGCAGACUUACUAAAUUUGGAUGAGAAAUUUGAAGAUGAAGACAAGGCAUUAUUGUUGUUGAAUUCCCUUCUUGAUGAAUAUGAUCAUCUUACCACCACAUUGCUUCAUGGGAAGGACACGAUCACAUUUGAUGCAGUUUGUAGUGCGUUGUAUAGAUCUGAGACUCGAAAGAAAGAUAAAAGAGAUCACAGAGAUACAACCGCAGAAGUCUUAACAGUAAGAGGUCGUUCACACAGCAGCAAAUCUAGUAGAAGGGGAAAGUCCAAAGGGAGACCCGCCAAAGAUGAAUGUGCCUUUUGCCGUAAAAAAGGGCAUUGGAAAAAGAAUUGUCCUAAGCUACAAAAGGGCAAGGCUAUUUCUAAUGCAUGUGUAGCGGAGCAUGAUGAGGAGUCAGACUUUAGCUUGGUUGGCAUGGCAAUGGCAUGUCAAACGGAUGAGUGGAUUUUGGAUUCAGGAUGUACUUACCAUAUGUGUCCUAAUAAGGACUGGUUUUCUAGUCUUAAAGAGCUAGAAGGUGGAAUUGUUCUUAUGGGCAAUGAUAGUGCUUGUAAGACAAUGGGAGUAGGUACAGUCCAAUUGAAGAAUCACGAAGGCUCAAUCCAAGUCUUGACAGAUGUUCGCUACGUACCUAGCCUGAAGAAAAAUCUCAUCUCAUUAGGUGCCCUAGAAUCUAAAGGGCUCACAAUCACUUUGAGAGAUGGAUUACUAAAAGUAGUAGCUGGGCAACUGACGGUGAUGAAAGGCACAAGAAGAAAUAACUUGUAUUUUUUAAAUGGAAGUACAGUUAUUGGAUCAACAUCAACAGUUUCUACAAAAGAUGUAGAUUCAGAGGCUACCAGAUUAUGGCAUAUGCGAUUGGGACAUGCUGGUGAAAAAGCUUUGCAGACAUUGGUGAAGCAAGGCUUAUUGAAAGGUGCAAAUUCUUGCAAAAUGGAAUUCUGUGAACAUUGUGUUCUGGGCAAGCAGAAGAGGGUAAAAUUUGGUCCAGCAAUUCACAAUACGAAAGGAAUUCUGGACUACGUUCACAGUGAUGUAUGGGGACCUACCAAAGUAGCUUCUUUGGGAGGUAUGCACUAUUUUGUUACUUUUGUUGAUGAUUAUUCAAGAAAAGUAUGGGUGUAUCUAAUGAAAAGAAAAAUUGAAGUUUUGGAUGCAUUUUUGAAAUGGAAGAAGAUGGUGGAGACUCAGACUGGUCGAAAGGUCAAACGACUUCGAUCAGAUAAUGGUACUGAGUACAAAAACGAUCCAUUUCUACAAGUAUGCCAAGAUGAGGGCAUUGUGCGAUACUUCACUGUUCGGGAUACACCACAGCAAAAUGGGGUGGCAGAACGAAUGAAUUGAACUAUACUGGAGAAAGUUCGAUGUAUGUUGUCCAAUGCUGGAUUGGGCAAAGAAUUUUGGGCUGAGGCAGUUACAUAUGGUGCCAUCUAAUUAACCGUUUGCCAUCAGCUGCAAUAAAUGGAAAAACUCCUAUGGAGAUGUGCUACUGAUUAUGAUUCUUUGCAUGUAUUUGGUUCCACUGCAUAUUAUCAUGUAAAAGAAUCUAAGUUAGACCCAAGAGCAAAGAAAGCAUUAUUCUUGGGUAUAACUGAUGGAGUAAAAGGAUAUCGUCUCUGGUGUCUUGAUACAAGGAAGAUUGUUUUCAGUAGAGAUGUGACUUUUGAUGAAUCAACUAUGUUGAAGUACAAGGAUUCACAAAAAGAUGACAAAACCAGUAGUACUUUGCAGCAGGUGGAGCUUGAAAAGGUUAACGAUGAUCCAGCUAAUAUUGAAGGGACAAAUGAUGAAGAGGUUCCUACCCAAGAACCUCUACAGCAACAAGAUUCAAUUGCAUAUAGAAGGCCAAGAAGAGAGAUUCGUAAGCCUGCUCGCUUUGAUGAUAUAGUGGCCUAUGCACUUCCAAUUACAGAUGAUGAUGUUCCUUCUACUUACACAGAAGUAAUAAGUAACCCUGAUGGUGUAAAGUGGAAGCAAGCAAUGAAUGAAGAAAUGCAGUCUCUUCAUAAAAAUAAGACCUGGGAGUUGGUGACACUACCCAAGGGAAAGAAGGCAAUUGGAUGCAAAUGGGUAUAUGCAAAGAAGGAAGGAUUUCCUGAUAAAAAUGAAAUUCGAUACAAGGCUAGAUUAGUAGCAAAGGGUUACGCUCAGAAAGAAGGAAUAGACUACAAUGAAGUGUUUUCUCCAGUUGUGAAGCAUUCGUCUAUUCGGAUUUUGCUAGCCUUGGUUGCGCAAUAUGAUCUUGAACUAGUUCAGCUUGAUGUGAAGACCACGUUUUUACACGGUGAUUUGGAAGAGGAAAUCUAUAUGACUCAGCCAGAUGGAUUCAAGGUUGCUGGAAAAGAAAAUUGGGUUUGCAAACUGACAAAGUCGCUUUAUGGAUUGAAGCAAUCUCCGAGGCAGUGGUACAAGCGAUUUGAUCAGUUCAUGAAAGGGAAAAGGUACGCAAGAAGUAAAUUUUGUUCAUUGCGUGUAUUUUCAGAAGCUACAAGAAGGAACUUUCAUAUACUUGCUCUUAUAUGUUGAUGAUAUGCUAAUAGCAUCUAAGAGCAAAGUUGAGAUUGAAAGAUUGAAGACUCAACUCAAUCUCGAGUUUGAGAUGAAAAAUCUAGGAGAAGCUAAAAAGAUUCUCGGCAUGGAAAUAUGGAGAGAUAGAGCUCAUGAUAGAGUUAGCUUGUCUCAGAAGAAGUAUUUGAAAAAGGUACUACAGCAGUUUGGCAUGAACGAGCAGACAAAACCUGUAAGUACCCCGUUGGCUUCUCAUUUCAAGCUUUCUGCACAACUAUCUCCUUCGACGAAUACGGAACGAGAAUACAUGUUGCAAGUUCCGUAUUCUAAUGCAGUGGGUAGCUUGAUGUAUGCAAUGGUGUGUACAAGACCCGACAUUUCACAGGCAGUUAGUAUAGUGAGCAGGUAUAUGCAUAAUCCUGGAAAAGGACAUUGGCAAGCUGUGAAAUGGAUUCUACGGUAUAUUCAGAAGACCGUGGAUGUUGGAUUACUGUUCAAGCAGGAUAAUACACUUGGUAAAGGUGUUAUUGGGUACGUUGAUUCUGACUAUGCCAGUGAUUUGGACAAGCGAAGAUCAACCACCGGUUAUGUGUUUACACUUGCUGGAGGACCAAUAAGUUGGAAGUCUACACUACAGUUUACAGUUGCAUUGUCAACCACAGAAGCCGAGUACAUGGCUGUAACAGAGGCUGUAAAGGAGGCUGUUUGGUUACAAGGUAUGGCUAAAACCUUGGGGUUGGUUCAGGAGCAUAUUAACGUGUAUUGUGAUAGUCAAAGUGCUAUUCAUUUAGCAAAGAAUCAAGUCUAUCAUGCACGUACAAAACAUAUCGACGUACGAUUCCAUUUUGUGCGGGAAAUUAUUGAAGAGGGGAAAAUUUGUCUUCAGAAGAUCAAGACUGCAGAUAAUCCCGCAGAUAUGAUGACCAAGGUGGUAACAGCAACCAAGUUCGAACAUUGUUUGAACUUGAUUAAUAUCCUGCAAGUUUAACAGUUGAAGAAGGAACUAUCAAGUAUUAUUGUCAAAAGCAGAAAGAAUUGUGUGAAGAUAAGAUUAUCGUAAUCAAAUCUUCAAGGUGGAGAUUAUUGGAACCCACCAUUGUUUGAAAAGUCAAAUGGGGUGGGCACCGAAAGUAGAAAGUAAUAUUGGUUGGCAAGUUGGGUUAAAAGUUGGCAUGGGAUAAUUGCAAUUUUGGUCCCUAAUUGUAUAGGGACAUUGCAAGUUGAUCCUUGAACCUCAACUAUAAAUAGGCCUAACCAUUGCUUACUUUCUUCAUCCCAUGAUUGCCAUUCUCUACUUAAGGCAUUAUUCUCUCUCUCUAUUUGUAAAUUUCACUUGUAAUUUUUGGAGUGAAAUAUAUUUGGUAGUGCCCGAGGACGUAGGCAAAAUUUGCUGAACCUCGUUAAAAUUCUGGUGUUCUUUAUUAUUUGUUUUGCAUAUUUUGUGAAUGUGAUUGUAGUGAUUUAUUGUGCUAUUAAAUUACGAUAGAGGGAUAUUCUGGCUAGGAAAGACUUGGUAUUUAAGUGAUCUUCGUGAUCUACCUCUCUUUCUUGGGAAUUGAACUUAGUGUGAUUUUUCAGUACAAUAAUUUUACUCUUUCACACGUUUCCGCACAACAAUAAUUACAUUUAUUAAAAGUCAAAGGAAGUCAUCUUUUUAGUUUUGCUUUUCAGGUAAAGACGCCAUUUUUUCACCUGCUACUAUAAUGGCGUGUGAAAGUGUGUUAUAUGGUGAGAUUUGGAAUUAUCUUCUCUCUUGUAUAUAUCUAUGGUUGUUGACUGUUUGUUGUUUUCUUCAAAUUACAAUAAAACGGUUGCAAGAUAAGGUAUUGGAAGAAUGGGAGGUGUCUGGAUUAGCAAGGUACCAAACCCCUCCUCCAUUUCUAUUUCCUUCAAUCUAAUUUAAUUACACAUUCAUUUUUGUCUUUUAAAACAUAAAAUUGCAGAUAAGGAGACGACACUGACCUUUGUUCCCACAUACCUUUGGUUUUCGGUGACCAUUCCUAUAUUUAUUUGUUAGCUUUGCUUUCUCUUUCUUUUUUUCCCUUAAGUCUGCUUGAGUCUUUUUCUUUUGUUAUAUGUACUUAAUGUAAUAUUAGAAGCCAAGGCAGGACCAUGCUUUUCUAUUGUAAAAUUCAUCACUUCGUUAUUUUAUAUUUGUAUGUUGACACAUUUCCCGUUUCAACAUAUUUCCUUAUUUUAUGCAAGUCGAUUGGUAUUCAUCAUAAA
rnacentral:lncRNA from 1 species